UACGAAGGGGGCUAGCGUUGCUCGGAUUUACUGGGCGUAAAGCGCGUGUAGGCGCUCGGCAAGUCGGAUGUGAAAGCCCUGGGCUUAACCUAGGAAGUGCAUUCGAAACUGCCAAGCUUGAGUUCUGGAGAGGAAGGCGGAAUUCUCGGUGUAGAGGUGAAAUUCGUAGAUAUCGAGAGGAACACCGGUGGCGAAGGCGGCCUUCUGGACAGCAACUGACGCUGAGACGCGAAAGCGUGGGGAGCAAACAGGAUUAAGAAACCCCU
rnacentral:rRNA from 1 species